GCCAAGGGUUUCUGAUUCGCGCUGCUCCUGCAGAUCACACACCCUUGGCUAGCGAAGCGAUGAGCAUAACUUGUAAUCGGGAUAUUGAAUGUAAAACAAAUACAUCCCUUCGGUGCCCCAGUGGUCAAGAAGCAGCGUGCUCCCAGGGACAGUGUCUUUGUAAAGAGGGAUCAUGGUGUGUUUUUGACCGUAACUGCAAGGACGACUGUAACCCUGACCAGACCUACUACUGCCGGUUCGUGCGCUGUUAUUGUCUGUAACAGGUGACACACAGGUGUAUCUGAUGACGGGGUACCUGCCAUUGUCCGCAACCAACGGACUUUUUCCUCAAUAAAGGUUUAAAAUUCC
rnacentral:sRNA from 1 species